UACGGGGGGAGCAAGCGUUGUCCGGAUUUAUUGGGCGUAAAGAGCUCGUAGGCGGCUUGUCACGUCGGGUGUGAAAGCCCGGGGCUUAACCCCGGGUCUGCAUUCGAUACGGGCUGGCUAGAGUGUGGUAGGGGAGAUCGGAAUUCCUGGUGUAGCGGUGAAAUGCGCAGAUAUCAGGAGGAACACCGGUGGCGAAGGCGGACCUCUGGGCCAUUACUGACGCUGAGGAGCGAAAGCGUGGGGAGCGAACAGG
rnacentral:rRNA from 1 species